GAUGAACGCUGGCGGCGUGCCUAAUACAUGCAAGUCGAGCGAACAGACGAGGAGCUUGCUCCUCUGACGUUAGCGGCGGACGGGUGAGUAACACGUGGAUAACCUACCUAUAAGACUGGGAUAACUUCGGGAAACCGGAGCUAAUACCGGAUAACAUGUUGAACCGCAUGGUUCAACAGUGAAAGACGGUCUUGCUGUCACUUAUAGAUGGAUCCGCGCCGCAUUAGCUAGUUGGUAAGGUAACGGCUUACCAAGGCAACGAUGCGUAGGCGACCUGAGAGGGUCAUCGGCCACACUGGAACUGAGACACGGUCCAGACUCCUACGGGAGGCAGCAGUAGGGAAUCUUCCGCAAUGGACGAAAGCCUGACGGAGCAACGCCGCGUGAGUGAAGAAGGUCUUCGGAUCGUAAAACUCUGUUAUUAGGGAAGAACAAAUGUGUAAGUAACUAUGCACGUCUUGACGGUACCUAAUCAGAAAGCCACGGCUAACUACGUG
rnacentral:rRNA from 1 species